CUGCGAUUCCAGUCAAAAUUUCCAUCUACAAAUCUCUUCAACAUUUUGUUCUAUCGAGUGAGACACCCAAAAUCCUGAUAUUUACCCAUACACCUUACAUUAAUUGUCAUCACCUUAAUAUUUAUACAUGAACUUGUGGUUAGAGCUCGACAACUGUCUCUCUCUGUAUGUAACUCAGUUGGUUAGGAGCGCUGCACCAGAAUUGCGGGGCCGCAGGUUCGAUUCCUGUCAGGGAGCCAAUACCGAUAGUUGCAUUAUUCACGACUGCAGACGGAACUCCUCCAUCUAUAAAUCCCUUCAGUAAUUAGUUUUACCCCCAAAAUCCUUCUAUCAUUUAUGUGGCAUAUCUGUACAGGGUGUCUUUUCACAUAGCUUUUCUAUGAUACCUUUUGUAAAUCGUAACGAUGAAUGUGAUCUCGACCGGCAAUUUUUAUUUGACGAGUACAGUAUGUGGCCAUUUCUCAUCGUUACGGUUUAAAAAAGGUAUCAUAGAAAAGAU